rnacentral:lncRNA from 1 species
CUACCCAGGUGGGGAUUCCGUGGUACAGAAAUAAAUGAAGUGUGGGGAUGAGGAUAGCUACAGCACAUGUGCAGACUGCCUGGACAUUGCUGGAAAGAACUCUUUGAUGGAAGACACAUGAGGCACACACACAUCUGAAGUGGAGCAUCUGCAGACACACACAUCUCAAAGAAUUCAAGUUACUGUAUCUAUACUGUAAGUAAUCUCUCCUUCUGAUAAAGGCUGCUUUUUGAGGAUGAGGGUGGGUUAUUGUUUGGGACUCUGCUCAUUGUCAGGAAUCAGGACUUUCUGCAGAGCAAAUCUCCAAGCCACCUAACGAGCACAGCUGGCCUGUAGUAAGCUGUCUUAUUGGCUACACAGCCUAAUUUGUUGGUAGAGUCAUCAGAAUUAGCUCUUCAGCCCAGUAGCAGCAGCUGCUCAGCUUCAACUAUAUGUGAAAAUGUUCCCAGCUGCAGUGUAAUCAUUUCCUGUAUCAUAAGCUAAUUACUCGCAUCCUUCCUUAUUUUUCCUACAUGUACGCAGUCCAAAAGAGUCUUGGUGAUGAAAUUCAUCCUAUUGCACUGCAGAAGGAGCACCAUGAAGAAAACACAGAAGAAGAACAGAACUUUCACAGCUUAUUGAUAAAAUCAAGGUGAAAUUAUUUCAAGCUGAGUGAGCAGACAGGAAACAGGGGCUGCUUGUAAAUGUGAACAUGUUUUCUGUUGUGAUAGUUGUGAGCCACAAGCUUCCUUCUGGGGAUGAAUUUUAAAAGUCGAAUUCACCCCAAACCAGCUCUCUUCAGAGAUGCAAGAUUUUUUUUGUGUUCAUCUGUGUUUAAUCACCAAGAAAACUGAGAGAAACAAAUCAAACGAGGCCACCAUAUCUAGUUUAUAGCCUUCUUGCUAAUGGGUUUUUUCCCCCUGAUACUGGUGAUGGAAAACCGAAGCAGCAUCAGUGAUCUGCUUGUACGUGCCCUUGACAACCUUGCUCAGGAAGACUUCAAAAGAUUUAAAGACAAACUAUCACACUUUGACUUUAAGGGAAACGGUAACAUUCCCCAGGGUCAGCUGGAGAAUGCCGACAGGAUAGAUACUAAGAACCUCCUGAUGAAAUUCUAUGGUGCAGAGGCUGCCUUGGAUGUAACCAUAGAUGUUUUCACUCAGCUCAACCUCAGAGAGGCUGAUGAAAAGCUCAGAGAAGAAAGAAAGAAAGUUUUAUCACAGGAAAAGGAGAAAACAGCAAAAGUUGAAGAAACAAGAGGGAAUGACAGACGAUGGGAUCUGAGACCAUGUGCAGAGAUACGUCAUGCCAAGGAGCAGGGAGUUGAUAAUCCCUCUCUGAAAGGCUCUGGUAAGACUGCACUUAGACUACUGCAUCCACUUCUUAGUCCAAU